AGAGUUUGAUCCUGGCUCAGGAUGAACGCUAGCGGCAGGCCUAAUACAUGCAAGUCGAACGGUAACAUUGGUGCUUGCACCAGAUGACGAGUGGCGCACGGGUGCGUAACGCGUAUGCAAUCUACCUUUUACUAGAGUAUAGCCCAGAGAAAUUUGGAUUAAUCCUCUAUAAUAUCUUUUAAUUUCAUGAUUUUAAGAUUAAAGUUUUAACGGUAAAAGAUGGGCAUGCGUCCUAUUAGUUUGUAGGUGAGGUAACGGCUCACCUAGACUACGAUAGGUAGGGGCCCUGAGAGGGGGAUCCCCCACACUGGUACUGAGACACGGACCAGACUCCUNCGGGAGGCAGCAGUAAGGAAUAUUGGACAAUGGACGAAAGUCUAAUCCAGCCAUGCCGCGUGCAGGAUGAAAGCCCUACGGGUUGUAAACUGCUUUUAUACAGGAAGAAACACUCCGACGUGUCGGAGCUUG
rnacentral:rRNA from 1 species